rnacentral:rRNA from 1 species
UACGAAGGGGGCUAGCGUUGCUCGGAAUCACUGGGCGUAAAGCGCACGUAGGCGGAUUGUUAAGUCAGGGGUGAAAUCCUGGAGCUCAACUCCAGAACUGCCUUUGAAACUGUCGGGCUUGAGGCCGGGAGGGGGUAGCGGAAUUCCCAGUGUAGCGGUGAAAUGCGUAGAUAUUGGGAGGAACACCGGUGGCGAAGGCGGCUACCUGGACCGGUUCUGACGCUGAUGCGCGAAAGCGUGGGA